AUGUGGGCAUGAAGCAAACAUCCAUGAAGCAAGGCUAGAGAGAAUCAGUGCAGUUCUGCCAGCUCUUCUGGGCAGGCUUAUCAGCAAGAACUGCAUGAAUGGAAUAUUACCCAAUUUGUCUGAUCACUCCUAUCCAGACAUCCUUCAUGCUUUGCAAACAGCAAUGGACCUCGGGAAGCAGCAGGGCCUGGAGCCCUCAGUGCUUUGCGGGGAAAUGAGCCACCAUCAUGAGAAAAGAUGCAUUUUGGGGACAGCCCUGGUGUCGGUAGCCAAGGUGUGAGGGGUGCCCUGGCUCCUUCCCCUGUGGAGUUGCUUUAAUUUCUGUGCCGGCAUUCACCAAACAUCUGCUGAGCCUCUCUGAGAGGAGAGAGCUUGCUCUUCCAAAUGAAACAGCUUUCCCAUUUCCCCAUCCCUUUUCCAAAAUGCAAAAGGUGUUUAAUCCAAAAAUAUUUCUCUUCCUUUGGUUUGGAGCUGUCCUCAGCCACGCAGCAGCUGUGGCAGAGCCAUUCUCAGGAGCUGAUGGCCCUGUAAUGAUGUGGUUUAAUGCCCGUUGCUGGAAGGGGCUGUUCGGUGGUGAUCAGCUCUGGCCAUUGCAGAUUAAAUGUCCACGGACGUUGAAGAGGAUGAGUAGUGCUAACUCUGGUCUCAAACCCAAAUCUAUGCCCUGCAGAACAAUGCCCUUGGUCUUUGUUUCUCAGCACCCUCUCCAGUCUCAGAGAAGGGCAGACCAAGCCUUGAUCUCCUCCUUCUCCAAACCAGAGCUGCCUUCCCCUGGCGGUGAUUUCUCAGUGGAGUUCCCCUGCUCUCUGCCACUCCUGGGCUUGCUCCUGCUCCCGGCUGCUUGUUUGGAGCAAAAUUUAUUACAAUAUCAAUAAUGUGACUUGUAUACAAGGUCUAGCACUGCUACAUGCAAGCGCUUGCUGUAAAUCAUCAGCAUCGGCACCCCGGUAAUUGCCCUGUAAACCGAGAGGAAUUAUUUGGCUGUCUGCAGCAAUGAAACUUUCCUUUCUGUUCCGCAAA